rnacentral:rRNA from 1 species
AGUGAACGCUGGCGGUAGGCCUGACACAUGCAAGUCGAACGGCAGCACAGUAAGAGCUUGCUCUUACGGGUGGCGAGUGGCGGACGGGUGAGGAAUACAUCGGAAUCUACUUUUUCGUGGGGGAUAACGUAGGGAAACUUACGCUAAUACCGCAUACGACCUACGGGUGAAAGCAGGGGAUCUUCGGACCUUGCGCGAUUGAAUGAGCCGAUGUCGGAUUAGCUAGUUGGCGGGGUAAAGGCCCACCAAGGCGACGAUCCGUAGCUGGUCUGAGAGGAUGAUCAGCCACACUGGAACUGAGACACGGUCCAGGCUCCUACGGGAGGCAGCAGUGGGGAAUAUUGGACAAUGGGCGCAAGCCUGAUCCAGCCAUACCGCGUGGGUGAAGAAGGCCUUCGGGUUGUAAAGCCCUUUUGUUGGGAAAGAAAAGCAGCAGGUUAAUACCCCGCUGUUCUGACGGUACCCAAAGAAUAAGCACCGGCUAACUUCGUG